rnacentral:rRNA from 1 species
CUUCUUGGGUGACGAGCGGCGGACGGGUGAGUAAUGCAUAGGAAUCUGCCCGAUAGUGGGGGAUAACCUGGGGAAACCCAGGCUAAUACCGCAUACGUCCUACGGGAGAAAGGGGGCUCCGGCUCCCGCUAUGGGAUGAGCCUAUGUCGGAUUAGCUAGUUGGUGAGGUAACGGCUCACCAAGGCAACGAUCCGUAGCUGGUCUGAGAGGAUGAUCAGCCACAUCGGGACUGAGACACGGCCCGAACUCCUACGGGAGGCAGCAGUGGGGAAUAUUGGACAAUGGGCGCAAGCCUGAUCCAGCCAUGCCGCGUGUGUGAAGAAGGCCCUCGGGUUGUAAAGCACUUUCAGCGAGGAAGAACGCCUAGCGGUUAAUACCCGCUAGGAAAGACAUCACUCGCAGAAGAAGCACCGGCUAACUCCGUGCCAGCAGCCGCGGUAAUACGGAGGGUGCAAGCGUUAAUCGGAAUUACUGGGCGUAAAGCGCGCGUAGGUGGCUUGAUAAGCCGGUUGUGAAAGCCCCGGGCUCAACCUGGGAACGGCAUCCGGAACUGUCAAGCUAGAGUGCAGGAGAGGAAGGUAGAAUUCCCGGUGUAGCGGU